AUAAAAUGGCUUGCUCAAGAAACCAGGUUUGAAGUGGAGGUUUGCCGUCACUCCCCAGAUCUGUAUGGAAGUGUCAGAAGUGGAGUCAGCUAGUUAGUUCACCCCAAUAGGUACUGAGAGCUAUUAAGUCUGUACCACUGUGUCGGGAGAGACCAGGAGGAAUCGAGCAGAGCAUGGUCUAAUAAACAGAGAAGGCUCAGGAGGGUCAGAAACACGGUGCCUCAUUUCUCAGCCUACUUGCCAAGAAUUCCCAAAAAGGAAGCACUGGAGGAUCAUUCCAAGGCUUGAGGUCCAGGACUACCCACUUCCCUUGGAAUGGUGUUGCCAUCACUGUUCUGGCACCGGAGAAAGGAUUCUACAUCGUUAGGAGAAAAGAAAAAGGAGAAUUUGGGCUUGCACUGAGAGGAUUACCUUUGGUGGUCUGGAAGUGGUGGCUGCACAGGGAGCAUGGCUGGGAGGCCUCAGGAAACUGACAAUCAUCAGUAGAAGAUGAAGAGGAAGGAGGCGCAUCUUACAUGGCCAGAGAAGGAGGAAGAAUAAGAAGGGGUUCCUUGACUUUGGCCUUCAGUCCUGACUUAAUUUCUUUGCUUAUGGGUAAAACAAGGAAUUCCUGUCACACUGCCAACAUCACCCCCUUUCUUCUCACCCCAAGGAGAGUGCAGAGAGGAGGCGAGACCAAGCCUGCCCAGAGUUGGAGUCUUGAGACGUGAGAUUCUCCAGCUGGAGCCCUAUAAAUUGGACUGACAAAAGACAGAUUAGCAAGAGAAAUGCAAGCAGCAGUUUAUUAACAUGUGCAUCAUGAUUACACAUGGAAGUACCCAGAGGCAGAAUUAAAGAUUCAAGAUGUACCUACUUCUUCCGGGGACAACAUUCAUGAUUCUUAAAGAUUUCACAAGUGUACCUUCUAAGGGUAAGUGGCUGGAAGUAGUAAGAGGUCAAUGCCAAGUGAAAUCCUCUGGCGUUUUCUUCUGACAACCAGGAGUCUGCAAAGUGAGUUUGCUGGGAGCGUCCAGUUUUUUCAGCUUAACGUUAGGUGUACUUUCUGUCUUCGGCACAAAUUGUUUCCAAAUGCCUGUGGGUUGCAAUAUGAUUUUCCCAUCUUGAAAAUCUAUUAAAAAGGAAGAGAUUCUUCACUUCUCCCCACCCCACCUCCAGGCACUGCAGAUGGCGAUUAACACCCUACACAGCCCCUCCCCAUAGCAUCAUCGAUUUUCUGCCUGCAUUGCAUCUACUUCACAGUUCGAGACAUGCCAAAUCACACACGUUCUAAGUACUUGUUGCUAGCAACAAAUCUCUGUUCCUCAGUGGCCAAGCAGACUAUAUUUGGAAUGUCAGAGCACCUAGCCCUUCCCUGGCCCACUUCCUUUAGCUCAGAAGUCUCCAAGCCUGAAAGUAACCUCACCCGUGUUUCCUUGAGUUCUGCUUGUUGAAGCAACUCUUUGGAUUAACUCCGCAAAACACAAAGUGACAGCAAAACAGAGAAACAAUCAGAUUCUUUUCCAUGAACUCCUUUCUUUUCUAUAAAAGUGUUAUUAAUCCCUAUCUUAUGGGACAAUUGUGAAUGUAUUUAAUGAGCUCAUCAAAAUAUACAUACACAUACAUAUAUAUAUAGAGGGGGGGGGUUGGGGGGAGAGAGAGAGAGAGAAAGAGAGAGAGUCUCACUCUGUGGCCCAGGCUGGAGUGCAGUGGCACAAUCUCAGCUCGCUGCAACUUCCAUCGUCUCCCAGGUUCAAGCAAUUCUCCUGCCUCAGCCUCCCAAGUAGCUGGGAUUACAGGCGCUCGCCACCAAGCCCAGCUAAUUUUUUUUAUUUUUCUUUUUGGAGACAGAGUCUCGCUCUGUUGCCCAGGCUGGAGUGCAAUGGGGCAAUCUCGGCUCACUGCAACCUCCGCCUCCCGGGUUCAAGCAUCCUGCCUCAGUCUCCCUAGUAGCUGGGACUACAGGCAAAUGCUGCCAAGCCAGGCUAAAUUUUUUUGUAUUUUAAUAGAGAUGGGUUUCACCGUGUUGCCCAGGCUGGUCUCGAACUCCUGAGCUCAGACAAUCCACCCGCCUCGGCCUCCCAAAGUGCUAAGAUUACAGGCAUGAGCCACUGUGCCCGGCCUAAUUUUUGUAUUUUUACUAGAGACCGGGUUUUGCCAUGUUGGUCAGGCUGGUCUCACACUCCUGACAUCAGGUAAUCUGCCGACCUCAGCCUCCCAAAGUGCUGGGAUUACAGGCAUGAGCCACCUUGCCCAGCCUGAGCUCAUCAAAAUAUUAAAACUAGUGCAUUUUUAAUGGCAGUGUAGACCUAGCACAUGGCUGGCAGUGUAUAACUGCCAGGUGUUUCUCCUCUUUUCCUCACCCUUUCUCUCUCUUUUUUAUUGAGGUGAAAUUCACAUAACAUAAAUCAAAUCAUUUUAAAGUGAACAAUUAAAUGGCAUUUUAUACUUUCCCAGUGUUGUGCAAUCACAUCUCUAUCUAGUUCCUAAAUAUUUCCAUCCCCCCCAGAAGGAAACGCAUCCCCUUUAACCACUCUCCAUUUCCCUCUCCUCAGCCUUCACAAACAACAAUCGACUUCCUGUCUCCAUGCAUUUACCUGUUCUGGUUAUUUUAUAUAAAUGGAUUUAUAUAAUAUGUGUCUGGUUCCAUUCACUUAAUGUAAUAUUUUUGAGGUUUUUUCACCUUGUAUCACGUUUUGGUAAUUCAUUUCUUGUUAUAUCUGAACAAUAUUCUGUUGUAUGAAUAUACCACAGUUUGUUGUCUAUUUAUCUAUGGAUGAACAUUUGGGCUGUUUCACCUUUUGAUGUUUGUAAAUUGUAAGUAGUGCUGCCAUGAACACAUAUGUACAUGUAUUGGUUUGAGUGCCUGUUUUCAAUACUUUUGAGUAUAUAACUAGGAGUGAAAUUGGUAUUCACCCUUUUUUUUCUGUUACUUCUCUUAAUGAUCUCAUGUCUGCGUGAUCCUUAAUGAUGCCCCGUUUUAAAAUUCCUGACAUUGUUUGUCACUAGGUCAUUUGUCUCUAGUUUAACUGAUCAAUCUUGACAGCAAUUUUUCACUUUUAUUAGUAUUUUAAGGAAUCAGCCUGUGGUUUUGAGAAUCUUGUCUGCUUAUACAUUUGAAUUAGUUACAAUGAUUGCUUUCUCUUUGGAUUUGUUUCGCCACUCCUUUGGUAAUGUCCGGAGAGAGCUUCUUAACUGACACGAACGGGGCUCCAUUGGUAUGUCCUGGGAUCCCUCGUCAGGCCUGUGCACUCCCAGACCUCCAAGGGCCGGGACCUGCAUUUUUGUCCGAGGGCCGUCCCCAGGCUGCCUGAACUUACUUAGCCUAUGGGCAUAGUGGGCUGGAGGUGCCUGGGAACUAACAGCGCCAGAGGAAACCUUUAACUAAAGACCAAAGGCUGUCAGGGUGUAAAUACUCUUCUUGCCCUUCGGCUGAGAUAAUUCUGAAGCAUAUUUUACUUAGUUUUCUAGAGUUCUUCUUGGUAAUUAAUGCAAUCAAGCUCCAGUCUCCUGCUGUGAUGACUGCCUUCAUAACAUACCCUUUAUUAUUUAUCUGUCUUCCCUCCGUAUCUCACUUCCUACCUGUUCCUACUUGUCUAUUUCCCUGUGAGGGACUGAACUGUGAGCCCCUCAGAUUCAACGUACGAAGCCCCUAAAUUUAUUUGUUCGAGUCUGAAGCCAAAGUACCUAAGAAUGUGGCUUUAUUUGGAGAUACAGCUUUAAAGAGGUGAUGAAAUUAAAAUGAGAUCAUGAAGGUACACUCUAAUCCACUAUGACUGGUGUCCUUAUAAGAAGAGAUUAGGACACAACACACACAGAGGGAAUCCCAUGGGCAGACACAGGGAGAACACAGACAUCUGCAAGCCAAGGGCAGGAGCCUCAGAAGAAACCAAACCUGCUGACACCUUGAUCUCAGAUUUCAGCCUCCAGAAAUGUGAGAAAAUAAAUUUCUGUUGUUUAAGCCACCUAGCCUGUGAUACUUUGUUACGGCAGCCCAAGCUAAUUAAUUCACUCCCAAUUAAACUGUUCGCCCUUGAAUCCUUGGCUCAAGGUCUGCUUCUGGGGAACCCAAGCUAAGAUUCAAAGUUUAUUGAUUUUUUUCAGUGUUUCUUCUUUUCUAAAUAUGCAUUUGAAGCUAUAAAUUCCCUUCUAAGCAAGGCUAACACUCUGAUAUGUAGUAUUUGAUAGUGUAAUGAUAAGUAUUUGUAGUAUAAUGGUAAGCUUUGAUAUGUAGUAUUAUUAUUUAAUUUGAAGUAUUUUCCAUUGCAAUUUCUAUUUAACCUGUGGCUUAUUAUAACUCAGAAGGGUUUCACAUUGGCCUUAUAGAUGCUCCAGCCAUGUGUGUCACUUCUGCUCACAACUCAAAUGACCAGAACUAGCCACAGGGCUCCACCCAGCCACAGGGGAGCAGAAAGCACAACCUACCGUGUUGGUGUUGCAUAGAACAUCUUUCUACAUGUUUCCUCUUGCGUAGGUGCUAGAAUUGCUUUAGAAUAGGCUAUAAACCUGGGGGUGGAGUCACUAAGUCAUCUUAUUAAACCCAUCUUCCAUUUUAUUAGAAAUUGCCAAGCUGCUUUCCAAAGCGGUUGUGUGAGUACACAUAUUGCCCAUGCACAUUGUUCUGCACCUUCACAACCCUUCAUAUUAUCAGACUUUUAAAAUUUUUUGGCAAUUUUGGAGGCAUGAAACAGUAUCCUUUUGCAUUUUAAUUUUCAUUUCCCUGACUAAUAGGCAGGUCAGGUUUGUUUGUUUGUUGUUGUUGUUGUUUGAGACGGAGUCUUGCUCUGUCACCAGGCUGGAGUGCAUUGGCACGAUCACAGCUCACUGCAACCUCCACCUCCUGGUUUCAAGCAAUUCUCCUGCCUCAGCCUCCCAAGUAGCUGGGACUACCGGCACCUGCCACCACGCCCAGCUAAUUUUUGUAUUUUUAGUAGAGACGGGGUUUCACCAUGUUGGCCACGAUGGUCUCUUGACCUCAUGAUCCACCCA
rnacentral:lncRNA from 10 species